GCCAGGUCGUAAUAUCGACUCACACCACAAACGCCAGGGAAUUACGAGCUUAAGCUUAAAACCCAAAGGACUUGACGGUGUCCCCAUCACUAGAGGGCCUGUUCUAUAACCGAUGAUCCACGAUACACCUAACCUUUUCUUGCUUUUCAGCCUGUAUACCUCCGUCGCAAGCUUGCCGUCUGAACGCACAACAGCAAGCCCAAGGGCCAAUCGCCAAAAGGUCAGGUCGAGGUGCAGCUAAUGAAAUGGAAAGCAAUGGGCUACAAUUUCUAAGUUAGAACAAACGAAACACUGCAUGAAACAUAGUCAUGAAGGCGGAUUUAGCAGUAAGGAGGGAAUAGAGAGCCCCACUUAACCCGGCCCUGGGACG
rnacentral:rRNA from 1 species